GGGGCAGUAGCUCAGUUGGGAGAGCAUCGGUCUCGCAGUCCGGGGGUCGUGGGUUCGAACCCCAUCUGCUCCACCA
rnacentral:tRNA from 1 species